AACGAACGCUGGCGGCAGGCUUAACACAUGCAAGUCGAGCGCCCCGCAAGGGGAGCGGCAGACGGGUGAGUAACGCGUGGGAAUCUACCCAUCUCUACGGAAUAACGCAUGGAAACGUGUGCUAAUACCGUGUACGUCCUUCGGGAGAAAGAUUUAUCGGAGAUGGAUGAGCCCGCGUUGGAUUAGAUAGUUGGUGGGGUAAAGGCCUACCAAGGCGACGAUCCAUAGCUGGUCUGAGAGGAUGAUCAGCCACACUGGGACUGAGACACGGCCCAGACUCCUACGGGAGGCAGCAGUGGGGAAUAUUGGACAAUGGGCGCAAGCCUGAUCCAGCCAUGCCGCGUGAGUGAUGAAGGCCCUAGGGUUGUAAAGCUCUUUCACCGGUGAAGAUAAUGACGGUAACCGGAGAAGAAGCCCCGGCUAACUUCGUGCCAGCAGCCGCAGUAACAC
rnacentral:rRNA from 1 species